AGUGAUGUUAAUAUGGGCUAA
rnacentral:siRNA from 1 species